UACGGAGGGUGCAAGCGUUAAUCGGAAUUACUGGGCGUAAAGCGUGCGCAGGCGGUUGUGCAAGACAGAUGUGAAAUCCCCGGGCUCAACCUGGGAACUGCAUUUGUGACUGCACGGCUGGAGUGCGGCAGAGGGGGAUGGAAUUCCGCGUGUAGCAGUGAAAUGCGUAGAUAUGCGGAGGAACACCAAUGGCGAAGGCAAUCCCCUGGGCCUGCACUGACGCUCAUGCACGAAAGCGUGGGGAGCAAACAGG
rnacentral:misc_RNA from 1 species